GGGUGCGAUCAUUCCAGCACUAAUGCACAGGAUCCCAUCAGAACUCCGCGGUUAAGCGUGCUUGAGCGAGAGUAGUACUAGGAUUGGUGACCUCCUGGGUAGUCCUCGUGUUGCACCCC
rfam:Corchorus capsularis cultivar CVL-1 contig06638, whole genome shotgun sequence.